rnacentral:tRNA from 1 species
GUGACGCGGGACGGUUCCCCGCGCCCCUGUCAGGGGCGCGGGGAACCGUCCUGGUUCACGCCCAGGGAGUCACC